UCACUCCAUCGUGUAACAUGUAACACACUUCAUCAAUUCAAGCUAUCAAUUCCCCCUUUUUCCUCUCAAUUUUAGAGCUUAGGUUGCAAACCCACAUCCACUUAUCUUUGGAAAAUAGUUGAAAUUAGAGAGUAUAGAAGCGAGUGAACUCGCUAGUUGGCAGCAGCACGUGUCAAGUCACCACCUCCUUUUUUUGCUGGUACAGUCGGAGUUUACACGUGGCAUGCUUAGGUUAUCUUUUGUUGUAAAUAGUUGGGUUACAAACGUAAGGUUAUAACCUUCUUUUUGCUAGUGGAGUUGUAUAUAUCUAUCUAAACAGGUUAAUGUUAUUUUGUUAUGUAUAGUUGUAAUCAGUUGUGUUA